rnacentral:rRNA from 1 species
AAGUUGGUUAGCUUGCUAACCGACGGACAGCGGCGGAAGGGAGAGUAACGCGUGGUUAUGUGCCCUGAAGACCGGGAUAGUGUUGGGAAACUGGCAGUAAUACCGGAUAAUAUCUUUGGAUCAAAGGUGUGAUUCCGCUUCAGGAUCGGACCGCGUACUAUUAGCUUGUUGGCGGGGUAAUGGCCCACCAAGGCUCAGAUGGUUACCGGGUGUGAGAGCAUGACCCGGCUCACUGGGACUGAGACACUGCCCAGACAUCUACGGAUGGCUGCAGUCGAGAAUCUUCGGCAAUGGACGAAAGUCUGACCGAGCGACGCCGCGUGCGGGAUGAAGGCCCUCGGGUUGUAAACCGCUGUCAGUUAGGAGGAAAUCUAUGAGAGCACUCUCUCAUAGUUGACCGAUUUUCAGAGGAAGGACGGGCUAAGUUCGUGCCAGCAGCCGCGGUAAG